rnacentral:rRNA from 1 species
GGAGUUAGCCGGUGCUUCUUCUGUGAGUGAUGUCCUUCCUGCCGGCUAUUAACCCGCAGGCCUUCUUCCUCACUGAAAGUGCUUUACAACCCGAAGGCCUUCUUCACACACGCGGCAUGGCUGGAUCAGGGUUGCCCCCAUUGUCCAAUAUUCCCCACUGCUGCCUCCCGUAGGAGUCUGGGCCGUGUCUCAGUCCCAGUGUGGCUGAUCAUCCUCUCAGACCAGCUACGGAUCGUCGCCUUGGUGAGCCGUUACCUCACCAACCAGCUAAUCCGACAUAGGCUCAUCCGAUAGCGCGAGGCCCGAAGGUCCCCCGCUUUCCCCCGUAGGGCGUAUGCGGUAUUAGCCUGGGUUUCCCCAGGUUAUCCCCCACUACCGGGCAGAUUCCUAUGCAUUACUCACCCGUACGCCGCUCGCCACCAGGGAGCAAGCUCCCCGUGCUGCCGCUCGACUUGCAUGUGUUAGGCCUGCCGCCACGCGUCAUCUGAGCAGAAUACAACUACUGA